rnacentral:rRNA from 1 species
GUCCAGACUCCUACGGGAGGCAGCAGUGGGGAAUAUUGCACAAUGGGGGAAACCCUGAUGCAGCGACGCCGCGUGAGUGAAGAAGUAUUUCGGUAUGUAAAGCUCUAUCAGCAGGGAAGAAAAUGACGGUACCUGACUAAGAAGCCCCGGCUAACUACGUGCCAGCAGCCGCGGUAAUACGUAGGGGGCAAGCGUUAUCCGGAUUUACUGGGUGUAAAGGGAGCGUAGACGGCAUGGCAAGUCAGAUGUGAAAGCCCGGGGCUCAACCCCGGGACUGCAUUUGAAACUGUCAGGCUGGAGUGCAGGAGAGGUAAGUGGAAUUCCUAGUGUAGCGGUGAAAUGCGUAGAUAUUAGGAGGAACACCAGUGGCGAAGGCGGCUUACUGGACUGUAACUGACGUUGAGGCUCGAAAGCGUGGGGAGCAAACAGGAUUAGAUACCCGUGUAAU